GCCCGCGGCGCAGCGGCCGCCACGCUGCGCCCCGAGGCCCAGCCGCUGCGGCGCCGGCGGGAGCAGCGACCGACCGCCGAUUAGUUUUAUCUCGGAACGUCAAUUGACUUAUACUGAUUGGCUUCCUGCCGCCAAAUGUCAAUUAAAUUGCAAAUGUUCAGCGGAGGCCCAGCGCGGGCCGCGAUGGCGGGAGGCCCCUUCCCGAGGGCGCCCGGUGCUGCCGCGGUGGGUUUGAGUUCUCCUCCUACGCCGCGAGCGGCAUGGCUGAGCCUUCCGGGGCCAGCAACCCUCAGGCCCCGCCUGGGAGUUGGAGGGAGACCCACGGAGCCGAACAAGCCUGCCCUGGAGUAACUCCUGCUUCCAAGAAGAGGGACCUUCGCUAGGUGACAAGGCUGGCAUGGUCUUUAAUAAACUCCCUUUCGCUGCUCCCUCGUGGUUUUCCUCACCAGCCAAGGCUCAGAAGAACUUGGAUGCUUAGAAUCUUCAAGUUUGCGUGUGCUUGAGGAAAUGGACAGACAGUUGUCUGGUGCCCUGGGCUUCACAACCGAAGCAGAUUCUUUUUGCUGGCUUGCUUUGCUUUUGAAACAAGAUCUCUUAUAUUCCAACCUGGCCUGGACCAUCCUAUGUAACCGAGGAUGACCCGGAACUUCUGAUGUUCCUGCCUCCACUCUCUGAGACCAGGGAUUACAGGUGUGCACCACCGUGACCUCUUUGUGUGGUUCUAGGGAUAAAAGGGGCCACGGCUCCAGGAGACACUAUUUUUUGUUACCAUUGUUGAGGUUCUGUUUUGUUUUGUGACAGACUCUCUCUAUGGAGGCCUGGAAUUGGUGAUCCGCCCGCCUCCACUCUCUCCUAUUAGAAUUGUAGGUGAGGACCACCAAGAUUGAUUCCUGAAAAGUGACUGGGGCACAAGGCAGGGAAGUCAUCCCAGAGUUUCCAAAGACAAGUGACUGUGGGACUUGCAUUCCUCCAGAUCUUUGGCUUCACUGUUUGCUCCCAGUGGACAGAUGGCAAACAUAAGACAAACAUCAAUGCCCUCUGCCUGCAUAGAGCACCAUCGCUCCCAGAGCACUUUCCUGUGUUCUGGGGCUCGCUAAACUUGCCAGGACUCGGAAGGAAUCACUCACUCUCUCUUUUGAUGGGGAGAGAUGUUCACUGAACAAAAGUGCCAUUCAGAAGAGCUGGAUAGAGUCUGUGUCUCAAAGAAAAAGGAAAUGAAGAGAGAAGAUGGAGAAGGAGGGGGGCAUGGAGGAGAGAGAACAGGGGGACCAGGAGCUACAAGAUUUGCCAGUCUUCCUGCAUCCAAAUUCAGGACCAGAUGGGGCAGGACCACCACUGAUCAGUACUGAAACCAAACAAGGAAACGGGGUUCCUCCACCCGUGUGUGAGCUCACAGCCUACACAAGCCCCCUAGAGCACAGCUUGAUCAGUUGAAUUUGUAAAGCAUGGGGCUAAGAUGCUGCCUGUCUGGAUUCUGGGUGGGGCUGGAGGUGUGGCCCAAUGGGCGGAGUGCUUGUCUAUCCUGUAUGAAGCACCGGGAAAGACCCUGAUGCAUUAUAUAAACUGGGUGUAUGCCGCACCUGAAAUCCAGAUAAACCUGGUGGCAAAGUCAGAAGUUCAAGAUCACCCUGGGCUACAAAGCAAGGUCAAGGACCAACAUGAGACUCCAGACCCUGUCUCAAUCAGUUAAUCAGCUGGUUCUUUUAGCUUUUUCUUCUGAACCUAGCCAGAAUAACCCCAGUAAGCUGAUAAACCACUUUUAAGCAAAAGAGAAAGCCAGACUUGGUGGCUUAUGCCUGCAGUCCUAGCUCUUGAGGCUGGGGGAUCACUGUGAGUCGUGGCUAUAUACUGAGACCUUGAGAGGAAAAUGACAGUGGGGUGGGGUAAAAGGUCAGGAGAUAGAGAAAUGCCUCCUCGAGGUUCUGUUAAGGAUUCUUCGUAGAUUCAGAGGAAAACCUCUCUGCUCUGAUAUUAGAAAAAUAACAGUAACCAUUUCCUCUGGCCAGGAUACUUUAAAUAUUAUAGGUAACAUUGUUAGUUACCAAGAAAGACAUGAAAAGCCCCCUUUGGGCAGGUAAAGAAACCAGGGAUGGAGGAAGGCCUUCUGCUGUGAAAGCACCCACAGCCAGUGGCUUAAAGACUGGGUAGGGCCCCCAUCCGUCCAUGAUGUCACCCAUGCAAAUGACCAGCCAGGGCUGAGGCUAACUAGGUCGAAUGUGGCAGGGAAGUGUGCAGAGCACGCAGUAGCUGGAGAAGUUUCCAGAAUGGAGACCUCGAGAGAAACAAGCUCGAGCUGUGUCCAUGCACGUCCAGCCUCAGGGCAGGACUGAAGUGGCCUUAAAGGCCCAUGCUAGACAGAGCUGAGGCUAUGUCCUCUGGGACACCCACCCUACACUGGCACUCACUCCUCUACUGUGACGCUGAGAGGCAGACCAGAGUGACACACGUCAGGGUACACUGGAGCCAACUGCCUGGGUGCCAAAGUGGCGGCUGAGCUGUGUGGCCUUGGACAACUUCCUUGAACGCUCUGACUCUCUCUAAAACCAGAGGGUGGUGGGAGUGCCCAGUUGGUAAACUGGCUUAUAUGAACUGCUUUCGUCGUUUAAGUGCAUGCCAAUCAAAACUUGUCAGUGCUAGUGAUCGUAUGGCUCCUUCCUGCAGUUCUUGGUCAGGGCCUCGACCCAUCCACACUAGGGGCACAUACUCAGGCAUCAGACAAGGGGAGACUCUUAGGCACACAUAUGUGUGCACAUCUGCCUUAGGACAGAGACACAUACAGAUGUAUCCUGCAGAAUGGUCUUCACAGCUCCCUUUUAUGGGGCUUGGCAGCCAUGCUGGAGGCUUUGGGUUGGGCAGGAGUGGGGAGUCUAACGGGCAAGGCUCUCUGGGUCCCACUCCACAGUCUGCCCUUACUAUUCAGCCAAACCCAUGCCUUCUCAGACAUAGGGGACAUAUUUGCUACCACGAACCAGGCCCUGAACUCAACACUAGGGGGAGGUGGUGACUGCUGCCAAAAGGCUUCCUUUUGCCUGCAUGGAGCUCACAGUCUUGGGGACUGAGGGGGAUGGACAAGUGACAGAUGUUUCAUUCUUAUUGACAGAGGAGGGACACAGAACCAUAAUGAAAGGCCUCAGAAGUUCCCUCAGCACCUCACGUGCUUCAGCCCAUCCCUGUGGCUCAGCGGCAGGCACGACUGGUACCUUUGUUUCCCUGUGGGAACUGAAGCGCUCAAAAGGGGCUCCCAAAGUCAUGGGAGGAGUGAUGGGUGGAGUCUUCAGUAGACCUCAGGUCACCUGACUCUGACCCAGCUGUGUGAUGUCAGCAGACAAAGGGCAGGUGGUGCUGAGGAACUGCUGAAGGAACCUUGGGUUGACAGAACUAGGCAGGAAAAGUAAGGGGACUCAGUCUCGAGAGGCAGCCACUGGGCAUGCUGUGUGACCCUUUGGAGAAAUCCAGAGGCGGAGAACAGAGAGGAGACAGUAACAGUAGUCCAAAAGGACAGAAGGAAAUGUUUGGACCAGGGCAGUAGCCAUGGAGAUGGAGAGAAAGAAGGAGAUCGAAGAAAUAUUUAAGACAGAGACAUGGUGUCUUAAAGAAGACAAAGACCCAAAGCCUUUUUCUGUGUUUACAAGCAGAGCUACAAACCUAAGGAGAGAGGACAGCUAGACGGACGGACACACACACACACACACACACACACACAAAGCAUUUUCCAAUCAGGCAUUGCAUUUAAAACCAGGAAAAUAUUUGCUGACGUGUUUCCUGUGAGAAGUGACCUGCCCAAGGUCAUAUAGCUAAAAGAAAGAGGCAGAAUGGAACUCCAGCAGCAGUGUAACACACCACCAGAUGUGGUAACACACCACCAGAGGUGGGACCCUUAAGAUCCAGUUGUUUGUUUUUAACAUGAGGAAAACAAACCUCAGAAGGCAGUGACUUGCCCAAGGUCACACAUCAAGUAAAGGCUCAGGGUAGACCCAAGAAUACCUAGAAAGGUUUGUGUCAAGAUGUCUGAGCCACAAGGUAAAAAACAAGGAUGGGAUUAAUCCCAACAAUAAUGGUCAGUCUUCCCUCUGGCAGAGAAUAGAGACUCAGACAAAUGGCCAGUCUGUCCAGGCAUGCCACUCCAGCCCAGGAACAAGCAUAUCGAUUCACAAAUGCCCAGUACCCACUGCCCUGGUGCCCUAGACAGCAACUAAGCUGUCCUGGGUCAAUGGUGCCACCUGGUGGUUGGUGCUGGGAAGUUCUAACCCCUCCUCACUUUUAAUCCUUUCCCAAGGGGCCACACCUUCUGUUGGGUCAUAGCUCAAUUGAUCUCACUUUAAGCAAUGUCUCUCACACCAUCAUCUCUUUUAUAAGUUCUUUUAAUCUAUAUUCUUUACCUAAAACAUCCCAGUUUCUCUCAGGACAUGCCUUUUCUCUCCAGCAAAUGAUAUGUCGGCCAGUGAAAGGAAGGACUGGAGUGUCAAAGUGAAAUUAUACAUUCACCCAAGCAUGCGUUGUGCACACACAUGCGUAUGAGUCACUCUCCCCUGGUGCUCUCUCUAGAGCACCCAGAACCCAGAAGCUCCUAUGAAAUCAGAACAAAAUGCGUUCAGAUCUUCCUGUUGCCCAGUAUCAGGCGUCAAGAUAAAUGCUUGAGGCACUUUCUUAUUUUCUCAUAUUUCAUUCCCAAUCAAUAUCAUGGCGGGAUUUUCUUCCACCAAAAAUAUGCCUAGGGCAGGGCCUGCGAGCAAGUGCAGAACUGAACUGGGUUUGAAGCUGGGUGGGUUCCCCGCCCUGAGGAAGCACUGAAGGAAGCAAGCUGGAGGGAGGUCAGACCUCAAACCCUACAGACAAGCUGCUGGACAUAGGAAGAACUCAGUGCUCAUCCCUCUUUGUGGAAACAAACACGAGCCAGAAACCACACAGCCGCCAUGUGAGAUGAGAGGGUUGCCAAAGCCUGGUGUGUCCAGCCACAACCUCCCGGUUAAAGAUGGGAGACAUGGGAAAAACUCCUCUUUUAACUCACACCACACAUGUGUUCUCUCUGUCUGUGUGAGAGAUGAACAGACACGGUCAGCGAGGAGCAAUGUGGGCAGAAACCCCCCAGGUGCAGGCCAGAGAACCAGGGGGUUCCCAAGACCUUCAGGGGAUCUGUGAGGUUGGAACUGUUUUCCCAUGAUGCCACAGGGUCAUUUGCCUUCACUCACGAUGAAAGCACAGGGUGGCACUUUCCAGAGCCUAGGAUAUGUAUGGUAUUGUGACAGUGAGUCCAGAGGCAUCUUUUCAACUCUAGCUGUCUUCUGUCAAACCAGACACUAAGGAAGCUUGCGCAGGUGUAAGACAGUGCCUCUCCUGCUAGAUUUUCAGUUUAGAAAACAGCUUUUAUCUCAACAUGUGUUGUUUAUUAUUAUUUUAAUAGGUCAAUAAAUAAUUCAAUGUUUGUUUGUUUUUAGGCUAUUCACCCUGGAACAGUUAAAGCCAAAUGAAAUGUCAGGCUCCACAUCACGGGUGCAUAGUGAAGUCUUUCAAACGGCAGUGCUGAAUGGGAAUGGUUUCUGGGCAGGGAGGACUUCUGUCUUACCUUCAAUCAAAGAGCCAUCCUUAGAGGACCAGAAACCCCAGAAAACACCUUUGUGACCCUUCAUACAACAACAAGGAAACUGGUGCUCAGAGCUGAGAGGUUCAUUGACUGGGAUUGAAAGAAAGGAUGGCAGUGGUGCCAGUGAGAAGCCCCAUUGGUUAGUUGCUGUUCUUUCAGAGGACGUGAGUUCAGUUCCCAGCAUCCAUAUCAGAUUGCUCAUAAUUGCCUGUAACUCCUGCUCCAAGGGAUCCAGUGCCCUCUUCUGGCUUCCUCAAGUGCUGGGAUUUCAGGUGUGCACCACCACACCUGGCUGAGCACUUCCUUUUCUGAAGAAAGAAGAUGAUGGGAUACUGGUCCAGGUUGGCCUAGCAGGUGUAUCUGCAGCCCUGUCGGAGAUCCUUCCCCUCUCUAGAGCUCGACCUCCACCCGUGGGACAGAAGAACUGAACCAGGCAACCUGUCUGUCCUCUGGCAGUGCUCCUGUGUUGGUUUCUUGGCCCUAAGGACUCCACAAAUAAGAUGAAUGCACCCACCAGGGGAAUCAGCAAGGGAGAGCAUGCGUGUCACGGAAGGGUUGAAGUGCUGCCCAGAGAAAAGCACUUGGCUUUUUCACCAAGAAGCCAGCUCAGAUCCAUCUCAUGAGGAGGAGCUUAGCUGCAGUGCUUGAUGCUAUUUCCAGAGUUUCACCAUGUUGUCCAACGAUGACAACAGGGAGAAAAAAAACACCAAAAAGUUGGCCAAAGACACAGAAGCCAGUAAAGAAAUGUGAGGCAAAGUCACAAUAGGUCACAAAGGCAGAGUCACAAUAGGUCACAAAGGCAGAGUCACAAUAGGUCACAAAGGCAAAGUCACAAUAGGUGAUCCAAAGGCAGAGUUCAGGACCAAUUCAUCCACCUGGUCCUAUAUGACAAACUCUGUAGACAGUGCCCAACUAUAAACCACUCCAGCUGUGCUCUCUGAGAGACUGAAGACUCCAGGUGCCCUGGCUAGAGCAGCCUUCAGGAGUGUCUUAGCAGAAGAUGCAUCAACCUGACUACAAAGCACAGAGCCCAUGUCAUUUACACCACCAACACGAAGAAUAGAGAUGUCCUAGCUACUGCCAAAGAUGCCAGAGGACGUUCAACAGACAGGAUAUUUGAAAAAGUAAAACUUUAUUAAACGAAAACCAACAAACUUUAUCAUAGAAAGGACCCACAUAGCUGGGAGCCAGAAGGGUCCCCAGUUUGCCUCUCUAGAGUCUUGGUUGCAGUUCUAGCAUGAAUCUCACUAUGACCUUGAGCAAGACUGCUCCAUUGUGGCCUCAGCUCAGACACGGAGGUACCAUAAAUUGUUCUUUGAUUAUUUUAAGUAAUCAAAUACUUUUCAUGAAAAAAUUAAAGCUUUGCAGGGAGGCUCUCUGUAUUUAAAGAUCAAGGCUGCAAUGACUUCUCUUUCCCCGAAGCCUGGCAGCUCUGCCGCUCUCCAGGAGCAUGGGGAGGGAGCCCUGAUGGGGAGCUUCCAGCAGGAUCAGUGGGGGCCUCAGACACCACUAGCAUGGCACACCUUUGAACACAGAACAAUGACAACCAAAAGUCCCUGGAAAUGGGUGAGGCGUGAUAUAAUAAAAUAUUGACUUUCUCUAGAAAAGUUCUGUUCCUGGCUCAAACUGUUCCUGUCUAAAAGGACAUUUGGUAGAGUUCUACUUCAUUAUUAAAGUACUCUGUGUUUAUUAUAGUCUACUUUUCACUUUUCUGUGCAUGAGCAUGUGCCUGUAUACUCCAGUGCACAUCGUGUGAGUACAUGUAGAAGCCAAGAGACAACCUCGGAUGUUGUUAUUUGGGGUAGGCUGGUUGCCAGCGACCUGGAGUCUGUCUUCCCCCUUCCUUCACCAUAUGGGCACCAAAGAUCAAGCAAGCACUCAGGUUGGUGGUGAGCAUCAUCACUUGGCUGAGCCAUCUCCCAGAACUCUACCCAGCUUUUAUAAAUGUGGAUUCUAAAGGACUCAAAAUUAGGUGCCUGUUCUCACAAGGAAAACCCUUUGCCCCCUGAGCCAUUUCCCCAGAUCCACUAUAGACUGUGGGGAUAACACAUAAGUAUAAAGAAGAUAUCUAUGAGGUGUGGUGCUGCAUAUCUGUAAUCCCAGCCCUUGGAAAGCUGAGGCACAAAAGACUGAAAGUUUGAGGCCAGCCUGAACUAUCAAGACCCUAUCUCA
rnacentral:lncRNA from 1 species